UCGGGAAUUUUGGGCAAUGGGCGAAAGCCUGACCCAGCAACGCCGCGUGAGGGAUGAAGUAUUUCGGUAUGUAAACCUCGAAAGAAUGGGAAGAAUAAAUGACGGUACCAUUUAUAAGCUCCGGCUAACUACGUGCCAGCAGCCGCGGUAAUACGUAGGGAGCAAGCGUGGUUCGGAGUUACUGGGCGUAAAGGGCGCGUAGGCGGCGCGGUAAGUCACUUGUGAAAUCUCUGAGCUUAACUCAGAACGGCCAAGUGAUACUGCUGUGCUAGAGUGCGGAAGAGGCAACCGGAAUUCUUAGUGUAGCGGUGAAAUGCGUAGAUAUCAAGAGGAACACCUGAGGCGAAGGCGGGUUGCUGGGCCGACACUGACGCUGAUGCGCGAAAGCCAGG
rnacentral:rRNA from 1 species